rfam:Eutrema salsugineum unplaced genomic scaffold scaffold_3, whole genome shotgun sequence.
AAACCAUGAUGAGGGCAGUCUCUCUCAUACUCCUUGAAUCGCUCCCAGGCUUCAUAGAAUGAUUCUAUUAGGCCUUGUUGGAAACUUUGUAUCUUGUUUCUCAGCU